UCUCGAGGCGAUGCUGUGCCCGCUGGCUCCGCAGCGAAAUGUCUGCUGCUUGUUAUUGUCUGGACAGUUCCUGUAGCGAGAGGGCCGCGACUUGUGCGCCGCCCGGUACCUGUUUGGAGAAUAAUGGGCGGCAACGGCCCUGCCGCCGGCUGCGGCCCGAGUCUAUAUAAGGAAUUGGACGGACAUUGCGGACUGAGGGGCUCCUUUGGACUCCUACGUUAUUUUUAAAAGGAGUUUUUGCCAGUAGGAAAAUAAAGGCGCCUGUAAGGGGCUAGCGGGGUCCUCCAGAAAAUGAGGAAAUACGGGUUUAAGUCAAAACUCUCUGGCGCUCGCCCCACCCCCAUGCCCGGGCUCCCUUUCUCCCUCCCCUCCGGGAUGCGAAACGCGAGGUUUUGUAACCUUUGCUGGCAAUUUUAGAUUUUGUGUGGGAUUUCCUGUCUAGGAGCAGAUAGGAAGGUUUAAAGCUGUUUCAAAGAUGUUUCCUUCCGAUCGUAAACGUAUUUUGAAUAUAUCCGAGCCGACAUUAAAAUCACUGCUUUCAUGAAGGAUUUUAGUUAGGCAAACACACAUUUGCAUUUUGAAGACGUCUGUUAGUUGUGAUUGAUAACUAAUAUUUGGUAUCCUCAUUGUGGAGAGAUUACUUGUAACGACCAGGAGCGGAGCAUAAGCUAUUGCAAUUUUAAUUUCCUGUUUUAGCGUCAAAUAGUGUGUGUGCAGUAUUGAGCUGUUGGCUGCUGUUGCUGAUGUGGCUUUAUGAAAGAUUGAGGACAUGAAUACUUCCAGAGUCAUAUUCCGUAUUUAAUUUCAGUUUAAAUUCUCAACUGGCAGUUGGCCGAAAACUCCAUCUGAAGACGUGAACAUCCAAAAGUCAUUUUGUGAUUUGGCUACUGCCUUCUUGACAGAGGAAGACCAGAUCGAAGAAGCUGUGGAAGGACUAACUUUCGAAAGAAAGCCCAUGGAAAAUCUUAAACUUCCACCACAAGAAGAUUAGAGGUCCCUCCUGCACCAGGACAGAUCCGCAGGUCUUUUUCAGUGUUCUUGGAGGUGUGGGGUGUGAGCACUUGACCAGGUUGUGUCAACCUCCUUGUUCUCUAAAGUGCCCAAGCUAGAAGAACUUCCCUGGGUAUUUAACUGGAAGAAGGUGCCUAUCGUCCUCAGCGGCCUCUUUGGGGAAAUUUUUUGUUCAGGGAUCUAAAGAAAGUAGACAUACUUUGUUGACCUGACUAAUACUUUUUAAAGAAGGCCUAGAAAGUUCUUUAUUCAAAUACUUGUAGAGGGGGCAGAGUAUUAAGUGAGGGAACAGUGAUCACGUAGACAUAUCACCAGCUUCAAAACUAAGAAGAAAAUAUGGAUGAAAAUGACUUUUUCGUUUAUCAAGAAAAGAUGUUAAUCAGGAAGGCAAAACAGGAAAAGAUGAAAAAUCAGAAGCAAAUUAGAAGACUGAUAUUUUGAAUAUGUAUUUUGUAAUAGCAGAAGGAUUUGUUAUAUUCAAGAGAAAAGACAUUUUGAAUAAUUUAAAAAUGGAAAUGUUAUUAAUGCCAAAUGAUGUGCUAUCAAAGGACCUAUUUUAUGCUGGGAUUGAUUCAAACCCUAGUAAGAUAACUAUGCUUUCAGAUGAAUACCUUUCAUUCUGGGAUCUUUGAGAAGCAGAUAUAAGACUUUCUCUCCUCUCUUGCAUUUUGUACCUGGUAAUAACACAGUAGAAUUCUGCACUUAGGAUUUCUCAGUUCAUAACAUAGGCUAUUCACUUGUUACCUAAAGCAUUUUCAGUGGAUUUUUAAAACUUACUGUCACUAACCAAGACAUUACAUUCAAUCAUAAUUGCUUUUUCCUAUGGUUUGAUUACAUUAUUGAUAAAAAGAGUAGGUUUUCUGUAUUUGUAAAAUUGAUUUCUUGUUUCUUCUAAGUUGCACUCAAACUGUUCAUUUGGUCCAGGGGCACUUCAUCCAUUAAAAAUACAUGAAAUUACAGUUUUAUUUCAAACACCUUAUGAUACAUUUUGUUUAUUUUUUUUUCCCCACUGUACAGCAAGGGGGUCAGGUUAUCCUUACAUGUAUACAUUGCAAUUACAGUUUUCCCCCACCCUUUCUUCUGUUGCAACAUGAGUAUCUAGACAUAGUUCUCAAUGCUAUUCAGCAGGAUCUCCUUGUAAAUCUAUUCUAGGUUGUGUCUGAUAAGCCCAAGCUCCCGAUCCCUCCCACUCCCUCCCCCUCCCAUCAGGCAACCACAAGUCUACAUUUUAAAGACAAACUCAACCACUGUUCUUAGACUUGAGCUGUACCAGAAUCACCCAGAGGACUUGUUUAAACAAGGACUAAUGGACCCUUCCCCCAUCAUUUCUGACUUAGAAGCUCUGAGAUGGGUCCCCAGAAUUUCCAAGAAACUUCCAAAAGGUCUAGGGUGGUGCUGAUGCUGGUGUUCCAGGGAUUAUACUUUGAAAACCAGUACCCUUAGCUAAUAACAGAAGAGCUUUACUUCAUCCUCCAAACAAUCAAAAAUUAAUAAUGUUUGAAUUGCAUGCAUUAAGGGUAAGUUUAUGACUCUUUUUUUAACCAGGUUAUAUACCAUAGUGACAAGUAAUGACCUUGUUCUGUAUAGUGGGAACUAAUUUCUUCUAUUAUUUAGACAAUGAAAUAACUCUUUUGUAAAUUAGAGAGGAAUUACUUGUGUAAAAUAUCUUUUGUAAAUUAGAAAGGAAUUAUUUGUGUAAAAUUAUGAUGACUUCCCCUUGUAUUUUAAGUGGCAUUCUUUCUGAGACUAAUUUAAAAAAUCAUUUUUAAAAGUAAGAAUAGACUAGUAAUCUAGAUCUGACAAAAUGAGAGAAGCAACAGUGCUAUAGAAUCUUGCUUACACUACUUCCUUUAAAAGGUAAUAUUGUGAGUAUUAAAGAUUGUUUGCUAGUGUAUUAUUUAUAUUACAUUUUCAACUUUGUUUUUAUGAAAUGUAUUUUAAGAUUUUAAAAAUACUUUAAAACUAGAUACUUCUUAAUAUCUUUUAUGCUUGUGCUCUAAUUAGAAAAAGAUUGUUAAUACUAAUGAUAUGAUAAUGAUAAAACUCAUGUUUCUGCAGAAAUCAUAUUUUAUUUUUAAGCAAUAAAAGUAGCUUUUAAAAUAGAAGAAGAGGAGUUCCCGUCGUGGCUCAGUGGUUAAUGAAUCCAACUAGGAACGAUGAGGUUGUGGGCUUGAUCCCUGGCCUUCCUCAGUGGGUUAAGGAUCCAGCAUUGCCGUGAGCUGUGGUGUAGGUCACAGACAUGGCUCGGAGCUGUGGUGUAGGCUGGCGGCUACAGCUCCAAUUAGACCCCUAGCCUGGGAACCUCCAUAUGCCAUGGGUGCGGCCCUAGAAAAAGGCAAAAAGACAAAAAAAUAAAUAAAUAAAAUAGAUGGAGAAAUAUGAAAGGCAAAUUACUGCUGAAAAUUCACCUAAUAUUUAAGGGAUAAACUAUGUAAGUGUUGACUGUGAACAGAUUGAUCCAUAUUUAGUGUAUUAAAUUUCCACCUGAGUUAUGAAAGAUCCAGUAUAUUAUCCUUUAGGGCAUGUAAAAAGAUUAAAUCACAUUCUUUCUAAGAGCAGGAACAGUUUGUUUGAGAUAACAAAUUCAUUUUUGAUUGCAGUUAUAGUUGAAAACUAUCUUAAAUCAGUUGAUCAUUGCCUCUCUGAUUGCUGUGUAUACACUUUCCACAGCCUUUUUACUCUUCUUAAAGUCUGUUUCUUUUUUUUUUUUUUUCUUUCAGUAAGCUUUUAUUAAGCAAUGGUUUUAAACAAAGCACAGGUAUUAGAUGUUAAGAAGAUCAUGACAGGGCCCCUGCCCUCCCACUUCUUUCUUAACUCCUUUCUUCUUUCUGUCUUUUAACUGGGGGUUAGUUCUUCAUUCUUAAUAGCUCCUUCCAGUGAAAUAAGCUCAAUUAGUGUGACGCUGGGUCUCUGACUUUUUACUUGCUAUGUUUUUGUGGUGGUGGAAUGAUGCAACUAAUGGUCAGUCUGGGGAAAAUAAAAGUCUGUUUCUUUAUAGUGAUUCUCUUUCUUGUUUUAGAAAGGAUAAAUGGUUGUUUAUUUGUUCAUAAUAAAUAUAGGCUUCUGCUUAUAUGACUUCACACAUUUUUUUAUUUGCCUAUAUGGAGCACUUAUCUAUGCAAGUAUUAACUUAAUAAAAAAAGUUACCAACUUUGUGGCCUUGAACGUAUUGUCUUAGAUCUUGUUAACUGAGUAAUACUCUGGUUAAAAACAAAAUGCAUACUUCAACUUGAGAGAUUUGCCUUUGUAGGAAAAAAAGAAUAUAUUUGAUUGUAUUUUAAGUUUCAUCUGCUUGCUUUCCUGUAUUACUUUGCACUUUGUGUUUAUAGUUUGUCCAGCAGGGUGAUCUUUUUAUGCAUCUAUUAUAUCCUCUCCUUAUUCUGUAAAGUGUAGGUUACAAUUCAGAGCACUCAGAGACCUUUGGGAUGUGUUAUGUUAAACUGUGGCCUUUUCCUUGUGCCCUUCUCCCUUCCUCAUUUCAGUCCAAAGAUGGUAGCAGCAGGAGGAAUUGAUGUGGAUGUGGUGCCUAGACAGGUGGGGGGGGGCAACCUGAGAGGAGGCAAGUCUAACAGUAGACUGGGGUUGGGGAUGGAACAAGGUCAUGACCACACAGGGCCCAGCAGGCAGAAGGGCCCUGCACUUGGCUGACCACUCUGCCGUCACCAUCUCAAAACUCUUAAUAAUUUGAAAAUGGGGUCCCUGCAUUUUUACUUUGCACCAGAUCUCCCCAGUUAUGUCACUGAUCCCGUAACAGAAAACUGGAGAAGAAGAAGCAGAGAUCUCCUCUUUCUCCUUGGUCCAUUCCUUUACCCACCACCAGGAUGGGAAUUAUCUCUAAGAGGAUGAUUUUAUAGACACUGACAAGCUGUGGGAAAUUAGCAUGAUUUGAAAGCUAUGGUGUGUGUAUGCACACAUGUACUCCAGCCACUGAACAACAAAUUGGAUAGAGGGAGGUAGGCAUUUGUUAAAAUGAUUUUAUAGAAUUAUCAAAGAUAGACUUCCAACAGAGAUUUUACUAAGUAAAUACAUAAUAUACGCAAUUUGAGAAGUACAAGCAAUUGGGACUAUAGAAUUUUAUUCCUAAAUUAACCUACUGCACGUUUAUGUAAACUGCAACAGUCUUUUCCUUCACCCGUACAGCCUGAUACUUUAUACUCAGUGUACUACUUUAUUAUUUGGUAAUUUUUUUGCUCUUAAUACUGUUAUUAUCUCUAACAUGGUAAUGGUUUCUUGCCUUUACAGUGCUUAUAAAGUUUAUUUUUAAAAGACUUUGGAAAUUAGAAUUUAGAAAUUCAAAAUCCUAAACUUUGUGAUAUUAAGGAGCCCUGUAAGUUUCUUUGUGUUAUUUGAUAGCUGCAUAGCACUUCUUAUUUAAGAUGGAAAGAUACUGUUUUGUAUCGCACUUACAGUCUUUUUCCAGAUCUAUUCCUUGUUCAGGUUUGCUAAUUUAAUUUUACUGGGUAAUUAGGCUAAAACCAAACUGUACAUUUUUUUUCACUUGAGUAUUCUGUUAUUUUAACAAACUGUGGAAUAACUGGUGUGGGAGGGGAUUGUCUAUCUUCAUAAGAAAUGUUGUGUACUUAAGUGAACCAAUAUAAGAUUUUCUGAAAUUUGAAUGUCACUUCACAGAUCUCAGCCAGAAUUCGUUAUAUAUAAAAUUAAUGGGAAAUCCCACUGUGGCUCAGUGGAAAUGAAUCUGACUAGUAUCCUGAGGAUGCAGGUUCAAUCCCUGGCCUUGCUCAGUGGAUUAAACAUCCAGCGUUGCUAUAAGCUGUAGACGUGGCUAGGAUCUGGUGUGGCUGUGGCGUAGGCCGACAGCUACAGCUCCAGUCGGACCCCUAGCUUGGGAACCUCCAUAUGCCGCAGUUGCAGCCCUAAAAAGACAUACAUACAUACAUACACACAUAAAAUAACAUGAAUAUAUGAUUUUAUUUAUAUAUGAAUAUUUAUUUAUAUAUGAAUAAUAUCAUACUUUGUUUAGGAGGAAAAUCAUGGAAAAGAUAGGCAUGGGAAGAAAUAACUAAUAUCACUGCUGUCUCUCUAUAGAUUUACUGAAAGUAUGUGCCCACUUUUAUAAAGUGUCUAAUUAUGUAAUUAAGGACUAACUUUUUAAAACUGGAGGGGGGAGUAUCAAUAUUUUCAUUAUAAGAUGACUCUGCUUGUGGAAUUUCUGUUUUAAAAUUGAUAAAAUACAUUUCUUAAAGACUUCUUUUAAAAUUUUGAAGAUUCAUUGACUCAAAUUUGGCUUCAGUCAAAAAUGUCUUAGCCCUUGGGAAAGCCUCUCUGAGUUGUAAAGUAUCUGGAAACAGCUGUCAGGUAGCACCUGGUUGAAGGUUCAAGUGGGGAGUAGACUCUUAGCCUGGUGAUGAAGGUGUUGAGGGUAGUGUAGCUAGGAGAGUGAAACCAGCUAAAAGUCAGCUGACUUGCUCUAAGUUUCUCCCAUUGCAAGAGAAGAUUUUUUUAAAGAGUUAUAUAGUUAAUAAUUUUUAAAAGAUUUAGAGUCUAAAUAUGGACAAGAAUUAUUUCACUUACUUUUAUCCAGAAUUACAAGAUUAUAUAUUUAGAUUCUCUAGAAAAUAAACUACAUUAGAAGCAUUAGUUUUUCAUGAUACUGUACAAGGUAAUAACUGUAAAAAUGAAGGUAAAAUGUAUUUCUGCCUAUAAUAAGCCUAAAACAUAAUAUCAACCUAGGGCAUAGAAGGUAUGCAAGCAACGGAACUGGUAGCAUAAAUCAAAUAAUAUGGUGAUAAAGUGUUAAGUGAAAUUUCAGCUUCACAAGUAAUAAACCCUUGUUUCUGCUGAAAUGGUCUAACACAAAUUGCAUCUUUUGCUUUAAGCCUGGAGAAACUUUACAUAGGAGGUGGAAUUUUAGAUAUUGUGUGGACAGUGGGAGAAAGUGCUUCUGACAAGCUGCAGUGCAAAGGGAAGGGAAUUGUGAGGACAGGUAUAAAGGGAGGGAAGCGCUGGCUUUAGGAAGCAGAGGGCAUGGACUUGUGCUGUUAUAGAAAUAGAAAGUAAAACCUACUGGGCAGAAGGACUGAACACAUUUGUCAAAACAAAGGAAAAGGACAAACAUAGAAGAAGAGAAAGCUGAUGCAGAACCGGGCUGAUGGGCUCAAGGAGAGUAUUGUUCAGUAAGAGGCAACUCAGUGGGUUUUCCUUCUAGACAGAAAGUUUGAAAGAGACAAAAUAUAGUCUCUAAUUAGGGAUGCAUGUGAAAUUAAGCAGAAAACAGUUUAAUUUUGUUUGAAGACUGGACACUUUUAUAAUUUCGUAGCAAUUAAAAUAAAUUUGAUAUUCAUAAAUGUGAAAAAGUAAAGUGUCUUGAUCUCUAUGCCAGCCUUUGUGGCCAGCUGCCCCAAGACAGCUCUUGGUUACCUGCAUUGCAUCAAAGCUCGUCCAUUGCCAUGCACUCCUUCCCUGACCCUUCCCAGACUAUAUUUUCCUCUUGGUGAUAUAUCGAAGGACUAGCAAAUUGGGGGCCAUUUUAAAAUUUUCUCUUUGCCCUUUAUUCUUUCCAGUCCUGGAUAUGAUUUCUGCAAGUUCUUAAUCUCUUUAUGCCUCAGUUUUGUUAUUUGUUUUGUGGAGAUAAUAAAACUUUAUUGCCACUCUCAGAAUUAAAAAAGCUAAUGCUUGAAAACAUCCAGCAUAGUGCAUGGCAUAUAAUCAUUGAGCAUUAGUCAGCAAAUGUUAUCAUAACUCUAGAGAAAAAGUAAUAAUUUAGAGAAAAAAAAUUGAAUUGUGUUUGCCAAAAUUUGGGGUUGUGUUUAUGCAGUAGAUUAUAUAUAAAUUUGUUUUCACUAGAUAGGUUAUCAAGGGUCUUCUCUUUACUUAUUUUAAAAGGUAAUUGGGGCACAGCAAAAUAUAACAUCACUAUCCUAUAGUGGGCCCAUGAAAUCGUAAUUACCUUCAAAUAAGUUUGAAAAGGGUAAGAGGGUUGUUCCAUGAGGCAGGUUAUCCUUAGUUCUAAUUUUAGUUGUGAAAUUAUUUGCUUCUCAAACUAAGCAACAUCUCUAAUUCCAUAUUGUUGAUGACUCAGUGAUUUUAGAUGUUGUAAAUUAAGUGUACAUUGGGUUUUCACACCCUACCUGUAAUGUAGAUUAUCUGAAUCAUGAUAUCCCUAUCAUCUAUGGCACCAUCUUGGACUUCAUAACAUUUAUACCAAGUCUUUACCUGUCACAACUAUCUCCUUUCUGUCUUUCAUGAUACCUUAGUAGAGGAGAAUUCACCCCUCACUUGGUUAUAAAUAGCAGCAUUGUCAACUAGACUUUUUGAUAUGUUAAUUGAGCACACAUUUCAAAGAAUAAUAAAAGCAUUAUUCAUAUUUUAUAAAGCUUAUCUAUUGAUGAAAGAUUGUAACUGAAACUUAACGUGAGAGGAUCAGCUUUAUUCAAACCAGGUUAUUGAGAGGAAGGAAUCAUAGGUUUUACUCAAUACAGUUUGAUCAAUUCCACAGUGUUUUUCAUUCAAAAUCAUUUUACUAUUCCCUUUGCCUGCCUCCAUCAUCCUUACAGAGAACUUUGACCUGGCAGGCCUUGAUGAUGGUGAAAUCCAGUUCCCUGAAGUCUCCCUUUGGAAUACGAAGUCUGUGUUUCUAAUAUAAUUAGCUAUUCAAGAGAACAUGAUUUCUGUGAAAAGGCAGUAUAGUCCUAUAGAGAUAGAUUUGUUUUACCUUGCUAAUUUGAUUCUCAAAAUUUAAAUGUCACGAAUGUCCUUAAGAACCACUAGCGUGGUACAUGAAUAUUAAAAAAUUACAGUUCUGAGAAGUAGUGCUAAGAAUGUUUAGCUCACCUAUAUUGUAUAAAUUAGACAAGGAUACUUGCUGAUCCUGGCUGCUGCUCCCAUUGCUAGUGCAACUACCAACAGAGAAAGGUCUCCAUUCACAGAGUUGGGGGGAGGGGCACUAUAGAUGGUGGGAUCACAUCUCUUCUAAAGUCUUUUUGCUUACCAUUGGUUUUUCUUAAGUUAAAGAUAGAUUCUUCUAUACUUUAAUUUUUUUAGUUUAAAAAGUAACAAUCCCAUCUUAUUGGACUUGAUUAAAUCAUCAUUUAUUUUUCAUUUAUGCAGUUUAUUUCUGACAUUAAUAGAGUCCUUUACUCAGUACUUUGACACUUUAACAAUUUUGUAAAUACAGUUUGAGAGAGUCUAAGCUUAAAAAAGUGAAGUUUUUAUUUGAAUGUAAAAACCUGUGUUUGGGAUACUUGUUGCCCGUUGUGCCUUCUCACAGAUAAUCUAGAAACAGUAAUAUUGAUUGGUUAUUUUUUUUCAUAACCCUUUGUGAAUGAUUAUUGGCAACAAGUGUUAAUUUCUCUUCAACUGUGAAUAAUAACAUAUAAGUCAUUUAGAAUUACCAGGUGUUUUAAGAGCUACCCAAGGUGACAUUCAAAAAUUUAAGGGCUUCAGAAUAGGAGAUGCUUAAUUGUUAUUUAAGAUUGGAAUUAUUUGUAAUAAUCUUAGGUGUAAAUGCUAAUGUCUUGUUGGCUUUCUACUUCACCUUAUUGUUGCUGGUAUAAAAAUCUGUUGAGGAGUUCUUGUUAUGGCUCAGUGGAAACGAAUCUGGCUAGCAUCCAUGAGGACACAGGUUUGAUCCCUGGCCUCGCUCAGUGGGUUAAGAAUCCAGCAUUGCUGCGAGCUGUGGUGUAGGUCGCAGACAUAGCUUGGAUCCCUCAUUGCUGUGGCUGGAGCAUAGGCCAGCAGCUACAGCUCUCAUUUGACCGCUAGCCUGGGAUCCUCCCUAUGCCACAGGUGCAGGCUCCCCGCCCCCCCAAAAAAGUGUUGAAAUGUUUGAAAUUAUUUCCUCUGUUGUAGUUUGUUUCAUGUGUAGAAAUGUGGUUAUCCAAGGACUGAUUUGUGUUCCCAGAUGUUAAAUAUGGGGUGCUGUUUACUGCUAACUCAUAGUUCUAAAGACUAUCUUGACUAAAUAUUUUUGUUCUUUUUGAUUGGUUAUAGUUUAAUAUUUCAUGUAUUUUGAAAAUAAAUUUAGUUAUAAAUACAUUUAUCAGUGGGAUCUUAAUCUUUUUCUUUUUUUGUAAUGUAUACUUAUAAGCCAAAUUAAAAUACUUAAAUACAUUGAGUAUUUUCAUCAUUAUAUUUUACUACUGUGAUACAAAAUAAAAUGCUUUCUACUGCCACGUGCAAGCGUAGCUACUGGUUUCCAUCGCCAAGCAUGGUCUCCCCAGCACCUGAUGCUGACCACAGUUUUCACUGAUCUGCAUAUACCAGUGGACAUUCCUCACAGCUGUGCAUACACUCUGCUGCCCCACCCCCAUAAAAGUGCUUGCAGUUGGCUACCGCUGCAUACAUCCACCCAUGACUUCAUCUGGCCACUGCCACCAUCCUGGCUCCCACUGCCACCAUCCUGGAUCCCACUACUGAAUGUGUGUCCAUGGAUGACCUCUACAACAGAACAGUUGCACACAGCUGACUUUGGCCCCUGCUGCCACAUGCAUGCCUGCAGCCAUCCCCCAUUGCCAUGUACACAUUCAUAGCCAACCCUAGCCUCUGCCUAGUCAAGAAUACUCACUAAUGGACUUGUAUUCACUGUUAAGGACCCCACCAUCCCUCAAAGUCACUACUGACCGUCCCAGCUGCUGCACUGCUGGGUCCCUUCCCAAAAUCUGGAGCUUCAGUACGCAUAGUGUCCUGCAUACAACUAGACCUGGUUCAGCAGUGCACUCUUGCACAUCCUUCCAGUCACCCCCAUACCUACUCUUCAGACCCUUUUCAGAUGAAGGUCUGUCUUUAUGGGAGCAAAUUUAUGAAAGCUGGAAAAUGUGACUGCUUCUUCAGAUGCACAGACAUCAAUACAAGGAAACAAGGAACACCAAAAUUCAGAGAUACAUGACACCACCAAAGGGACUCAAUAAACUUCCAGUAACCUAUCCUCAAGGAAAUGGAGAUCCACAAAAUUCCUGGGGGAAAAAAGCAAAGUAAUUGUCCUAAAGAAGGUCAGUGAUCUGCAAGAAGACAUAGACAAACAAUUAUAGGAAAUCAGAAAAAUAAUCCUCCCAAAAAUGAGAAGUUCAACAAAGAGAUGAGAAAAUUAAAUAUAUAAAUAAAUUCUGGAACUAAAGCUUGAAUGCCUGAGCUAAAAAAUACAGUUCAUAGCUUUAGCAUCAAACUUGAUCAAGCAGAAGAAUGAAUCAGUGAAUUCAAAGACAGGUAAUUUGAAAUUAUCAAGUUGUAGCUAAAAAUGAAAAAAAUCCUACGGGACUUAAGGGACAUUACAAACGACUCAAUAUACCAAUCAUAGAAGUCCCUGAAGGAGAGGAGAGAAAGUGGCAGAGAGUUUAUUUAAAGAAGUAAUAACUGGGGGAGUUCCUGUUGUGGCUCAGUGGCUAACAAAUCUGACUAGGGACCAUGAGGUUGUGGGUUCAAUCCCUGGCCUCGAUCACUGGGUUAAGGAUCCAGCAUUGCUGUGAGCAGUGGUGUAGGUCGUAGACGUGGCUCAGAUCCCAUGUUGCUGUGGCUCUGGCGUAGGCCUGCAGCUACAGCUCCAAUUAGACCCUUAGCCUGGGAAAUUCCAUAUGCCAUGGGAGCAGCCCUAGAAAAGGCAAAAAGACAAGAAAGGAAGGAAGGAAGGAAAGGAAAGAAAGGAAAGAAAGAAAAACGGAAAACUUUUGGAAGAAAGGAAGAAAGAAAGGAAAGAAAGAAAAACUGAAAACUUUCCAAAUCUGUAAAGGGAAAUAGAUAUGCAGGUUUAAGAAGCUGUAGGACACAAAAUAGAUUUAUACUGUCAAAAGUCAAAGACAGAAAUUCUCUGAUGGCUCAGUGGGGUAAGGACCCAGUGUUGUUACUGCUAUGGCUCAGAUGACUGCUGCGGUGUAGGUUCAAUCCCUGGCCUGGGAACUUAUGCAUUCUGGGGGAAUGGCCAAAAAAAUCCAAGAAAAAGGAUUCUGAAAGCUGCAAGAGAAAAGUGACUCAUCACAUACAACUGAACCCCCUUUCUUCCCAUAAAACUUUCAGUGGAUUUCUCAACAGAAACCUUGUAAGACGAGAAGAAAGAGUGGGAUGAUAUAUUUCAAAGCACUGAAAAGAAAAAAACCUUCCAACCAAGAAUACUAUGUUCUGUUAAUUAUCCUUUAAAAUGAAAAAAUAAAGUCUUUCCCAGAUAAACAAAAAAAUGAGUAAGUUUAUCACCAGCAGACCUGCCUUACAAGAAAUUGUUCAGGGAAUUUUUCAAAUAGAAUCAAAAUAUGCUAAACAGUAACAUGAAAACAUUUGAAAGUGUAAGUCCCAUUGGCAAAGGUAAAUAUAUAGACAAAUGUAGAAUAACACAACACUGUAAAUAAUGGUGUACAAAUUACCUGUAACCAUAAUAUAAAAAUUAAAAGACAAGUAUUAAGAGUAAUUAUAACCAUAAAAAUUGAAUAACAGAUU